rnacentral:rRNA from 1 species
CAGGGCGGAUGCUUUACCAUGCAAGUCGGGCGGCAGCAUGGACUUCGGUCUGAUGGCGAGCGGCGAACGGGUGAGUAAUGCAUCGGAACGUACCUAGUCGUGGGGGAUAACUAGUCGAAAGAUUAGCUAAUACCGCAUACGUCCUACGGGAGAAAGCAGGGGAUCGCAAGACCUUGCGCGAUUGGAGCGGCCGAUGUCUGAUUAGCUAGUUGGUGGGGUAAAGGCUCACCAAGGCGACGAUCAGUAGCGGGUCUGAGAGGAUGAUCCGCCACACUGGAACUGAGACACGGUCCAGACUCCUACGGGAGGCAGCAGUGGGGAAUUUUGGACAAUGGGGGCAACCCUGAUCCAGCCAUUCCGCGUGAGUGAAGAAGGCCUUCGGGUUGUAAAGCUCUUUCGGCAGGAACGAAACGGUUCGCUCUAACAUAGCGGACUACUGACGGUACCUGAAGAAGAAGCACCGGCUAACUACGUGCCAGCAGCCGCGGUAAUACGUAGGGUGCGAGCGUUAAUCGGAAUUACUGGGCGUAAAGCGUGCGCAGGCGGCUUUUUAAGCCAGAUGUGAAAUCCCCGGGCUUAACCUGGGAACUGCAUUUGGAACUGGAAGGCUAGAGUGCGGCAGAGGGGGGUAGAAUUCCACGUGUAGCAGUGAAAUGCGUAGAGAUGUGGAGGAAUACCGAUGGCGAAGGCAGCCCCCUGGGUCGACACUGACGCUCAUGCACGAAAGCGUGGGGAGCAAACAGGAUUAGAUACCCUGGUAGUCCACGCCCUAAACGAUGUCAACUAGUUGUUGGAGGAGUGAAAUCCUUUAGUAACGAAG